CAAGUCGAGCGCUAAUUACAGGGUAGCAAUAUUCUGUAGUUGGAGCGGCGCAAGGGUGCGUAACACGUGGGUAAUCUGCCAUGAAGUUUGGGAUAACUCGCUGAAAGGCGAGCUAAUACCGGAUGUGACGAUUGGAAAGCAUUUUCUGAUCUUUAAAGUUGGGGAUCGUAAGACCUGACGCUUCAUGAUGAGCCCGCGGCCUAUCAGCUAGUUGGUGAGGUAACGGCUCACCAAGGCUAAGACGGGUAGCUGGUCUGAGAGGACGACCAGCCACACUGGAACUGAGACACGGUCCAGACACCUACGGGUGGCAGCAGUCGAGAAUUUUUCACAAUGGGGGAAACCCUGAUGGAGCGACGCCGCGUGGGGGAUGAAUGGCUUCGGCCCGUAAACCCCUGUCAUUCGAGAACAAAUUGGUUCAAUUAACACCUGAACCAUUGAUAGUACCGGAAGAGGAAGGGACGGCUAACUCUGUGCCAGCAGCCGCGGUAAUACAGAGGUCCCAAGCGUUGUUCGGAUUCACUGGGCGUAAAGGGUGCGUAGGCGGUCGGGUAAGUCUGACGUGAAAUCUCACAGCUUAACUGUGAAACUGCAUUGGAUACUAUUCGGCUAGAGAGUUGGAGGGGGGACUGGAAUUCUUGGUGUAGCUGUGAAAUGCGUAGAUAUCAAGAGGAACACCAGUGGCGAAGGCGAGUCCCUGGACAACUUCUGACGCUGAGGCACGAAAGCUAGGGGAGCAAACAGGAUUAGAUACCCUGGUAGUCCUAGCUGUAAACGGUGCUUAUUUGCUGUAAAAGGAAUCGACCCCUUUUGUGGCGUAGCAAACGCGUUAAAUAAGCCGCCUGGGAAGUACGGUCGCAAGAUUAAAACUCAAAGAAAUUGACGGGGGCCUGCACAAGCGGUGGA
rnacentral:rRNA from 1 species